AUACGGAGGAUCCGAGCGUUAUCCGGAUUUAUUGGGUUUAAAGGGUGCGUAGGCGGGCUGUUAAGCGUGAGGUGAAAGCUCGGGGCUCAACCCCGGAACUGCCUCGCGAACUGGCGGUCUUGAAUGCUCCUGCCGUGGGAGGAAUGUGUGGUGUAGCGGUGAAAUGCAUAGAGAUCACACAGAACACCGAUUGCGAAGGCAUCUCACGAAGGGGUGAUUGACGCUGAGGCACGAAAGCGUGGGGAUCAAACAGGAUUAGAUACCCUGGUAGUCCACGCAGUAAACGAUGAUAACUAACCGCUGGGUCGUAGUGAUUCAGUGGCCAAGCGAAAGCGAUAAGUUAUCCACCUGGGGAGUACGACCGCAAGGUUGAAACUCAAAGGAAUUGACGGGG
rnacentral:rRNA from 1 species